AUCCCCAUUUAAUACCCUGUACUAAGUAACGCUAGGCCGAUGUUCACCUAAAUAAGUGCAUACAAACAUAAGAUGCAGCCAACACACAAAAACACACCGAACAUGAGACAGUGAAAAGGGGGAGGAUGAGAAGAACAAGGGACUCAAGGAAGGUGCAAAGAAUCAAGUGAAGAGAGGAGUGCAGGGUCUCCACCUUCGGUCAUGCUUGUCCGCUCUUGUUGCCUUGCGGUGACCCCUGAGUCUCUCUCUAUUAGUUUUCUCCCCUCCUCUUUGCUCCAGUUUCGAUGCAGGUAGAGAUUACAAAACGGUUCGGCCUGUUUAUUGAGGUGCAAAGAAUCGAAGAGGAGUGAGAGCAUAAAAGGGGGGCUCUCUGUGAAAGAAGGGCGAUAGGAGAGGGACAGUAGGAAGCCGACUCACAAAUCGCUGCGUUGGCCACUGCAAACAGAACAAUGAUUAAUCGCUGCCGGCACCCUCAUCGACUGCAACUUCAGUUUUACUUCGUUUCUGUUUUAUAUCUGGCCGAUCAAGUGUGGCUAUAUAUUCAAUACAAUCAAUAACAAAAGUGUAAUAACUCGUUGUGUGAUUAAAAUUUAAACAGUGACUCGGUUAAAAUGUACGUGAGCGGCAGAGCGUCGGAAGAGGCACUAGCAGAGCUUUCCAGCUUUUCCAGUGGAUUAAAGUCUUGUGAUCUUCAGCUUUUAGCGAGUGGUCACUGUACUAAAGAGAGCUUGUAUUCAUGCUUGUAUCUGGGUUGCCUUUGUUACAGUUUUCGCGAUUCAAAUGGCCGACCUGCGAAACCGUAAUAUUUCUUGAUGCAUCCAAAAGAUGAAUUGAGUUUUUGGGGGAUCCUUUAUCCAACAUUUCAAAACCAUUUAUUGCUAAAUUCGCAUUUCGCUACACGCUCCACAGCCCAUUCACAAUGCCUUGCAUUGCGUCAAUGAAAAUGCACGUCGAGAAGGAAGCGUCCGAUUAGGCCGCCACCCACCAAGCCCACCUGUGCACUUGCACCUGUCAAAUCAAAAACGUGGCUAAGGCAAAAUCGAUCGUCUCAAGUUCAACGAACUGUCGCCAAAGCAGUGGCACAAGGAGAACGACGACCAGCGGCCAAUUAAAGUCAAAUAAUUGCUAAUAAUUAACUUCGCAUAUCAAGUAUACGCAUCAAGUAUACGUAGCAAGUAUACACAUCAAGUAUACGCAGCGUAAGCCCAAAGGAAGUGGCCAUGUCCAAAUUUUACAACUGGCUUUUAUGGCACUGACAACGGAAUGAUGAUGGUUCAAUAGCCGCCAAAGGAGAGAGCAUUUCUGGGCCAUAAAGGUUUUCGGGUUGUUUAAAAAUUAAAACAAAAUUUAAUUGGAGUGAAAUGGACUACCUAAAGUGUGAAACAUAAUUGUGUGUAAAAGUGAAACAAAAUUAAAUUGGAUUAAAGGCCUCUUCCAAAAGGUUUUUGGGUUUUUAAAAAGUGAAACAAAAUUGUGUUUAAAAGUAAAACAAAAUUUAAAUUGGAUUAAGGCGUCUUUCAAAAUGACCCCCCUGGGUGAGAUCAAACACCUGGCGCGGAUUGAGCAGAUGCUGGAACUUGCCCAGGAGCUUGACACCCUGAUUGCC